rnacentral:rRNA from 1 species
AUUGAACGCUGGCGGCAGGCUUAACACAUGCAAGUCGAGCGGAGAUGAGGUGCUUGCACCUUAUCUUAGCGGCGGACGGGUGAGUAAUGCUUAGGAAUCUGCCUAUUAGUGGGGGACAACAUUCCGAAAGGAAUGCUAAUACCGCAUACGUCCUACGGGAGAAAGCAGGGGAUCUUCGGACCUUGCGCUAAUAGAUGAGCCUAAGUCGGAUUAGCUAGUUGGUGGGGUAAAGGCCUACCAAGGCGACGAUCUGUAGCGGGUCUGAGAGGAUGAUCCGCCACACUGGGACUGAGACACGGCCCAGACUCCUACGGGAGGCAGCAGUGGGGAAUAUUGGACAAUGGGGGGAACCCUGAUCCAGCCAUGCCGCGUGUGUGAAGAAGGCCUUAUGGUUGUAAAGCACUUUAAGCGAGGAGGAGGCUACUGAGACUAAUACUCUUGGAUAGUGGACGUUACUCGCAGAAUAAGCACCGGCUAACUUUGUGCCAGCAGCCGCGGUAA